rnacentral:rRNA from 1 species
UGCCCUAGUAACGGCGAGUGAAGCGGCAACAGCUCAAAUUUGAAAUCUGGCUCUCGGGCCCGAGUUGUAAUUUGUAGAGGAUACUUUUGAUGCGGUGCCUUCCGAGUUCCCUGGAACGGGACGCCAUAGAGGGUGAGAGCCCCGUCUGGUUGGAUGCCAAAUCUCUGUAAAGUUCCUUCAACGAGUCGAGUAGUUUGGGAAUGCUGCUCUAAAUGGGAGGUAUAUGUCUUCUAAAGCUAAAUACCGGCCAGAGACCGAUAGCGCACAAGUAGAGUGAUCGAAAGAUGAAAAGCACUUUGAAAAGAGAGUUAAAAAGUACGUGAAAUUGUUGAAAGGGAAGCGUUUAUGACCAGACUUGGGCUUGGUUAAUCAUCUGGGGUUCUCCCCAGUGCACUUUUCCAGUCCCAGGCAGCAUCAGUUUUCCCCGGGGGAUAAAGGCGGCGGGGAUGUGGCUCUCUU